rnacentral:rRNA from 1 species
GACGAACGCUGGCGGCGUGCCUAAUACAUGCAAGUAGAACGCUGAAGAGAGGAGCUUGCUCUUCUUGGAUGAGUUGCGAACGGGUGAGUAACGCGUAGGUAACCUGCCUUGGAGCGGGGGAUAACUAUUGGAACCGAUAGCUAAUACCGCAUAACAAUGGAUGACUCAUGUCAUUUAUUUGAAAGGGGCAAAUGCUCCACUACAAGCGGGACCGGCGGUGUAUUAGCUAGUAGGUGAGGUAACGGCUCACCUAGGCGACGAUGCAUAGCCGCCUUGCGAGGGUGAUCGGCCACACUGGGACUGAGACACGGCCCAGACCCCUACGGGAGGCAGCAGUAGGGAAUCUUCGGCAAUGGGGGCAACCCUGACCGAGCAACGCCGCGUGAGUGAAGAAGGUUUUCGGAUCGUAAAGCUCUGUUGUAAGUCAAGAACGAGUGUGAGAGUGGAAAGUUCACACUGUGACGGUAGCUUACCAGAAAGGGACGGCUAACUACGUGCCAGCCGCCGCCGUAA